rnacentral:rRNA from 1 species
AUUGAACGCUGGCGGCAGGCCUAACACAUGCAAGUCGAGCGGAUGAGGGAAGCUUGCUUCCUGAUUUAGCGGCGGACGGGUGAGUAAUGCCUAGGAAUCUGCCUAUUAGUGGGGGAUAACGUUCCGAAAGGAACGCUAAUACCGCAUACGUCCUACGGGAGAAAGUGGGGGAUCUUCGGACCUCACGCUAAUAGAUGAGCCUAGGUCGGAUUAGCUAGUUGGUGAGGUAACGGCUCACCAAGGCGAAGAUCCGUAGCUGGUCUGAGAGGAUGAUAAGCCACACUGGAACUGAGACACGGUCCAGACUCCUACGGGAGGCAGCAGUUGGGAAUAUUGGACAAUGGGCGAAAGCCUGAUCCAGCCAUGCCGCGUGUGUGAAGAAGGUCUUCGGAUUGUAAAGCACUUUAAGUUGGGAGGAAGGGCUGUAAGCUAAUAUCUUGCAGCUUUGACGUUACCAACAGAAUAAGCACCGGCUAACUCUGUGCCAGCCGCCGCAGUAAAAC